rnacentral:rRNA from 1 species
UACGUAGGGGGCGAGCGUUGUCCGGAUUCAUUGGGCGUAAAGAGCUCGUAGGCGGCUUGGUAAGUCGGGUGUGAAACCUCCAGGCUCAACCUGGAGACGCCACUCGAUACUGCCAUGGCUAGAGUCCGGUAGGGGGCCCACGGAAUUCCUGGUGUAGCGGUGGAAAUGACGCAGAUAUCAGGAGGAACACCGGUGGCGAAGGCGGGUCUCUGGGCCGAUAUUGACGCUGAGGAGCGAAAGCGUGGGGAGCGAACAGG